GCUAAAACCGUGCAAUUUGUCUUUGUUUCCCUUGGCUUCAAGGUCAGGCUGUUUCAUUUCCAGGGAUGUCUAGAGAUGAGUUAAGGGGAGCUCAGACCUUUUGGUCAGUGAAAUGUUAGAAGAGAGAGAAUCUCACUUGGAUCUUGGACAGAACACUUCUAGACUUCUUUAUUCUAUGGAAUUCUUCCCUAAUAGUUCUGGAUGACAGGA